AUGAACUGAGGCCAUUUUUUUUUUCUUUUGGGAAAAUGUGGUCACUUUUUUUAACAUUGAGGAGAUGUUACUUUAAUAAGUAUGUAUAUUUUUGCUUUUUCCCUUAUAACAGCAGGAAAAGGAUUAAAUGCAGUUAUUACAGAGGUGCAAAUUAAAGUGGCAAUUAUCAGGUUUUUUUAAAUCUAUUUUUCCCAGAAGGUGAUACACACAUCUCCCCCAUAUUCUUUUUAAAGAGUUAACAUACGUAUCCUCGUUGUAUUUUUUUUUUUUUUUUUUGAAGGGGGAAGGAGAGAAUUCAUGAAAACAACCUACAGGUGAUGCAAUUUCUUAGAUUAAUUUUUCCUCACUGGAGGUCACAUGGACUUCAUGCUGUGGUUCUGCCUAAAAGAAGUGAAGCUCUUCUUCAUCUCUCUUGUUCCCCCACGUGAGAAUUGAAAUAGUUGGGAUUCACUGAAAGGCAGCCAGGAAGUUUUCCCAAGGCACCUGGGAACCCUGUCCUAACUCUGAGAUGUUUUUCAAACCUAGUUUUGGCCAAAUAUAGCAAAGUAGAGUCAGAUUCCAGCUGUCUGCUAAUUUCUUCAUAAGGUGCUUCCUGGUUACUGCGCACACUGAUUGACAAGUAGGCAAGCUACCAAUAAGAGAACAAAAAUUGCACUUCCAAGCACAGACUAUAUUCACAUCUGAAGAAGUGAUUGAGUUGUGUGAAUAGCAUUUCAAAUCUCAAAAUAGCAGAAGGGAAUGUGUGGGACUCAACCCUUUCCCAAAUCCCUAAGGUUGGUGGCAACCUUGGCUAUGGUAUAACCAAGGUCUCUUGAGCCCUGUUAGCCUGUGCUCUGUCAUGGGGGGUAUGACUGGGCGUAGAGUUCAGGCAGACAGUAUUUUAAAACUGGCUCAGAGCCCAUUUCCUAAGGACACUCAGCUGGGGCAUCUGGUCUCUGGAAAGGGACAUGGCCUUUGAAGCAACUCUGGAAACUAAACCUCAGCUUUGCCAUUUUAUUAGAACUGUGACCUUAGGCCAUUUACCUUAGCCUCAGUUUCUUUAUCUGUAAAAUGGCAGUCACAAAGCUUCUCUUAAAGAGUUUCAAUAAUUACAUAUUUUAUUUUGAUGCCUACAACAUGUCUCCUCUACAGUCUGAGUGGAAACAACAUGUUUAAAGCGAUACAAACAGAAUCAAGAAGGCAAAAAGCGUAAGUGGUGGGAAGGCAUAGGGUUGCAUUCUACCAAAUAAAUCCCUAUUCCGGGUAUUAUCAAUUCAGGGUGUUUAGUAAGAUUUGAAUUCCAUACAGAUAAUCUGACUAAAUAAAACUGCAACCUAAUUACUAGUUGUGGUUCAAUCUGUUGAAGUUACUAAAAUUUAAGGCUAGAAUAUUUCUUAAAGAACAAUUAAUUCAAACUGUAUUUGACAGAUGGGACAAAGCAAUGGGCAAGCAGGAGCUUCUACAGGGCAUCUCCAACCCUAGAUCCCAGAUUUCCUGACUCCUAAUUCACUCUUUUCCCCACCACACCAUGCCUCUGAUAUUAUGGAGAGAACAGUCUACACUCAUUAAAAUACUAUUUUGUGGAAUUAUGGCCUUUUAUGUUGCUAGCAGCCACACCACCAAUUUAAGGAAAACAAUAAAUUGUCUCUAAUCUUCAAAUCCAUGGGUCCAUGUGAAAAUCCCCAUGGAUUGUGCUGUCAGAAUUUCUGACACUAGGUUUCCCGAUUCCUGCCAUGGUGUAUUUAUUGGUUUGUCUCUUCAAAGAACUCACCCUUUCUCAGCAGCUUAUUUCCCUAAGUCUCAGUUCCCAUGUCCUGCCUUACCCUCUCUCCUGGCUAUGAAGAAGAAAGUACACUGUUUUCUUUUUAAACUUGGUGUCUUCAGCCACAGGCCUUACAAUGUCAAAUCAUUACUUAAUAGCUAUUGUGAGCUUCAGAGAGAUAGAUUGAUCAAUUCAGAUCUGGGGUAAUUAUGAGUAACUUUUAUUUCCAUGUCAACCUUUUUCCUCCUCCAUUUCUCUAGCCCACCAGCCUCAAACUCAAUGGAUUUACCUUCACAAUCUCAAUCAAAUAGCUGCCCUUUACUCUUUGAUGCUUUUAAUUUUUUUUUUUUUUUGACUCAUGUGACUAGGUAAAAAGCCUUGUAAAUGGUUCUCAAAAAUUUCCAGCCCUACUUCCUGUGAGCUCCCUUUAAUCACACAUCCUCUGGACUCAUUACGUCUUAUCUGUGACAAAAGACGUUGCGCAACAUUUCCUCUCCAGCUGAGGCUCUCACUCAAGACAGUCCAAAGAACUAGCACUUUUGGGCCCGGGCCAACCUGCAGACCCAGCAACCUUCACAGCCAUGGCAAGGACAGAGAGCUGGGAUAACCAGUUGCCAGAAUCCAGAAUCUGGUUAGGAUCCUUGGAGAACAGAACACCUGGCCAGGGACCACCAUGGCUCUGUACAGAAUCCUCUGGAUAUCAAUACACUCCCACCCUUGGGGCUGGACAGACUGAUGGAUCCAUCUGUAGGGCAGGCGCAGCCAGAACAGAAAACUGAACAAGAAGGUAAUGAAGAGUUGGAGUUGAACCAGGAAACAGAGGACUUGGAAUUAACAGGAAUUCCAAAAGAGAACAGCAAGUCUAGCUCCUCAGGAGGGAGGAGGAGUUUCCUGGAGACUUCGUGAAGAACGGUCAAACUUCCCAAGCAGAGUAUGACCAUGCCUCACAGAAAUCACAAGUGGGCUACCAGGUCUGUCCACACUGGGACUUUCAUCUGCCCCCAUCUCACAGCGGUCCAAGGAAUAUGCGGGAAGUCUGUGGAGAGUCUGUGGAGGGUUCCUGGCAUAUGGGAGGAAGAGGAAGAUCCAACCAGAGGGGUGUGAGAGCCCCCUAAGUAGACUUGCUGAAACUUUGAGCUCUUAAUGACUUCCUCCUUCACUAGGAGGUCCCUGAGAUCUCUUCCAGUCUCUUCUUCAUCCCCAUAAAAUGAAGGCACAGAAAUGACUCAAUUCUGAAGUACUAUUUAUUGUCUAGAUCAGUAUACUGUGACUUCAAGUUUUCAGAAAAUUUAAGUUUGCUCAGUUUAUUUUUCCAGAGAGAACUUUGACUCUCUCUCUCUCUCUCUUAAAAAAAAAAUCUUUGCUGAUCUUAGGACAUAAUAAAGAGAGUACUUUUUAAA